rnacentral:rRNA from 1 species
UACGGGGGGGGUAAGCGUUGUUCGGAAUUACUGGGCGUAAAGGGCUCGUAGGCGGCCAACUAAGUCAGACGUGAAAUCCCUCAGCUUAACUGGGGAACUGCGUCUGAUACUGGAUGGCUUGGAUUCGGGAGAGGGAAUGCGGAAUUCCAGGUGUAGCGGUGAAAUGACGUAGAUAUCAGGAGGAACACCGGUGGCGAAGGCGGGUCUCUGGGCCGAUACUGACGCUGAGGAGCGAAAGCGUGGGUAGCAAACAGG